CAAAUCUCAAAAAGACCGUCCCAGUUCGGAUUGCAGGCUGCAACCCGCCUGCAUGAAGUUGGAAUCGCUAGUAAUCGCGGAUCAGCAUGCCGCGGUGAAUACGUUCCCGGGCCUUGUACACACCGCCCGUCACACCAUGAGAGUCGGGAACACCCGAAGUCCGUAGCCUGACCGAAAGGGGGGCGCGGCCGAAGGUGGGUUCGAUAAUUGGGGUGAAGUCGUAACAAGGUAAC
rnacentral:rRNA from 1 species